UACAGAGGUGGCAAGCGUUGUUCGGAAUUACUGGGUGUAAAGGGCGCGUAGGCGGCCUUCUAAGUCAGACGUGAAAUCCCCCGGCUUAACCUGGGAACUGCGUCUGAUACUGGGAGGCUUGAGUAUGGGAGAGGGAUGUAGAAUUCCAGGUGUAGCGGUGAAAUGCGUAGAUAUCUGGAGGAAUACCGGUGGCGAAGGCGGCAUCCUGGACCAUAACUGACGCUGAGGCGCGAAAGCCAGGGGAGCAAACGGG
rnacentral:rRNA from 1 species